GGGAAACUGAUUCCUAGCAUCUAGUAGGGGGGCAGCCAAUAAACCACCAUUACUUCUAAUAUUGUUGAGGAAUUUUUGGCUGUCUAAUAUAGAAGAAAGUUUCAGUUCUUGAUUAGCUAGUGAAGAAUGUAAUUCAAUUUCUACUUGCAGGAGAAAUGCCUCUCAGUUAUGUGAUCAUUCAGGAGCCAGUCAAAGGCUGCACUCGCAGGAGGUGUGCUAGAUACGUGUCUUGAAAAGAGUGGACACUGCUAUCAGAGGAUGGUGAAGGGAGUAAGUCAAAAUACGGCACAUCGAUUCAGACGGUUUUUUUUCCUUAUUGUUCUGUCGUACAGAGCAUUAACAUCUUUUUCAGCAGCGGCAUGAAGGGAACUCAUCACAGAUGUACAGCUUGGGUGCCAUUACCAUCCUUCAACACGACUAAAGAUUAGUGACAAUUCAUUCAGCUCCAGAAUGAAAUCCCACCAGUGGAAGCUCGAUCCGACAAUUAUUGAUAUAAUCACCCUUCUGGACCCCCUGGGGAAGUUGAAGCCCAUUGCCUGCAAGCCCAAGUCUGAGGCUGAGUCCAAGUCUGCUGGAAGCCUUUUUUUGCUGUUAAUGGAGUAGCACGUGCAUAAAUGGGAAGGAGGAAAGGGGCUUGUUUUUCCAUUGUUCUGUUACUUGUUGUGCUGGGUUCUGUGUUGUGGGUAAGCUGUGUCGGCACUGCAAUGUGUGGCGACACCUGAGGACUGUCCCCAGCACACCCUCAGGUGCAUUGGUUACUAACACAAGCAACUCAUAGAAAAAUAGAAAACCUACAGCACAAUACAGGCCCUUCGGCCCACAAAGUUGUGCUGAACAUUUCUCCACCCCAAAAAUUACUAGAGUUACCCAUAGCCCUCUAUUUUUCUAAGCUCCAUGUCCCUAUCCAAAAGUCUCUUAAAAGACGCUAUCGCAUCACCACUGUCGCCGGCAACCCAUUCCACAUACUCAGCUCUCUCUACAUAAAAAAACUUACCCCUGAUAUCUCCUCUGUACCUACUUCCAAGCACCUUAAAUCUGUGCCCUCUUGUGGCAGCCUUUUCAGCCUUGGGAAAAAGCCUCCGACUAUCCACACAAUCAAUGCCUCUCAUCAUCUUGUACACCUCUAUCAGGUCACAUCGCAUCCUCCGUCGCUCCAAGUAGAAAAGGCCAAGUUCACUCAACCUUUUUUCAUAAGGCAUGCUCCUCAAUCCAGGCAACAUCCUUGUAAAUCUCCUCUGCACCCUUUCUAUGGUUUCCACAUCCUUCCUGUAAUGAGGCAACCAAAACUUAGCACAGUACUUCAAGUGGGGUCUGACCAGGGUCCUAUAUAGCUGCAACAUUACCUUUCGGCUCCUAAAUUCAAUUCCACAAUUGAUGAAGGCCAAUACACCGUAUGCCUUCUUAACCACAGAGUCAACCUGUGCAGCUGCUUUGAGCGACCUAUGGACUUGGACCCCAAGAUCCCUCUGAUCCUCCACACUGCCAAGAGUCUUACCAUUAAUACUAUAUUCUGCCAUAUUUAUCCGGCCAAAAUGAACCACUUCACACUUAUCUGAGUUGAAGUCCAUCUGCCACUUCUCAGCCCAGUUUUGCAUCCUAUCAAUGUCCCGUUGUAAUCUCUGACAACCCUCCACACUAUCCACAACACCCUCAACCUAUGUGCCAUCAGCAAACUCACUAACUUAUCUCUCCACUUCCUCAUCCAGGUCAUUUAUAAAAAUCACGAAGAGUUAGGGUCCCAGAACAGAUCCCUGAGGUACUCCAAUGGUGACCAUCCUCCAUGCAGAAUAUGACCUGUCUACAACCACUCUUUGCCUUCUGUAGGCAAGCCACUUCUGGAUCCACAAAGCAAUGUCCUCAUGGAUCUCACGCCUCCUUACUUUCUCAAUAAACCUUGCAUGGGGUACCUUAUCAAAUGCCUUCAUGAAAUCCAUAUAUACUACAUCUAUUGCUCUUCCUUCAUCAAGGUGUUUAGCCACAUCCUCAAAAAAUUCAACCAGGCUCAUAUGGCACGACCUGCCCUUGGCAAAGCCAUGCUGACUAUUCCUAAUCAUAUUAUGUCUCUCCAAAUGUUCAUAAAUCCUGCCUCUCAGGAUCUUCUCCAUCAACGUACCAACCACUGAAGUAAGACUCACUGGGCUAUAAUUUCCUGGAUUAUCUCUCUUGAAUAAAGGAACAUUUGCAACCCUCCAAUCCUCAGGAAUCUCUCCUGUCCCCAUUGAUGAUGCAAAGAUCAUCGCCAGAGGCUCAGCAAUCUCCUCCCUCAGCUCCCACAGUAGCCUGGGGUACAUCUCAUCCAGUCCCAGCAACCUAUGCAACUUGAUGCUUUCCUAAAGCUCCAGCACACCCUCUUUCUUAAUAUCUACAUGCUCAAGCUUUUCAUGUCUGCUGCAAGUCAUCACUACAACCACCAAGAUCCUUUUCCAUAGUGAAUACUGAAGUAAAGUAUUCAUUAAGUGCCUCUGCUAUUUCCUCCAGUUCCACACUUUCACACUGUCACACUUGAUAGGUCCUAUUCUUUCACAUCUUAUCCUCUUGCUUUUCGCAUACUUGUAGAAAGCCUUUGGGUUUUCCUUAAUCCUGCCUACCAAGCCCACUCAUAGCCCCUUCUGGCUCUCCUAAUUUCCUUCUUUAGCUUCUUCCUGUUAGCCUUAUAAUCUUCCAGAUCUCUUACAGUACCUAGCACUCUGAACCUUUUCAUAAGCUUUUCUUUUCCUCUUGACUAGAUUUAUUACAGCCUUUGUACACCACGGUUUCUGUACUCUACCAUAACUUCCCUGUCUCAUUGGAAUGUACCUAUGCAGAACUCCACACAAAUAUCCCCUGAAUGUUUGCCACAUUUCUUCCGUACCUUUCCCUGAGAACAUCUGUUCCCAAUUUAAGGUUCGAAGCUCCUGCCUGAUAGCCUCAUAAUUGCUCUUGCUCCAAUUAAACGCUUUUUUAACUUGCCUGUUCCUAUCUCUCUCCAAUGCUAUUGUAAAGGAGAUAGAAUUAUGAUCACCAUCUCCAAAAUGCUCUUUCACUGAGAGAUCUGACACCUGACCACAUUCAUUUCCCAAUACAAAAUCAAAUUCAGCCUCUCCUCUUGUAGGCUUAUCUACGUAUUGUGUCAAGAAACCUACCUGAACACAACUAACAAACUCCACCCCUGGAUCAAUAAAAUUGAAUCUUGAAUCUUGUAAGCCUCACGCCAUUCACAAUGUGGUUCUCAUUGAGUAGCACAUCUUUCUCCAUGAUCCCUAUCAAAGAUAUUAUCCUCCCUUCCCAACUUCCCUGCACUUAAUGAACUUCUUUCCUCACCUUCCUAGUGCUGAAGAAUCCCUGACCUAAUCUCCCACAAAUGAGGGCAGACCCACUGAGAAUUUUUGACAUUUUCUGUUUUUAUUUCACAUUAGACAAAGUUCUUCCAUGUGCAUGCCAGCUGCGUGGAAGUCAAAUCAUGUUGUUCCAAGGAGCAGCUGUUGAUAGGCACCCAUGGUAUACCAUUGGCUCAUAGUCUUGACUGCUCUGGAAAGUGUGCAAUGAGCAAUUAACUGUGACUAAAAUGUUUGCUGACUUGCUGUGCAAUGAUCUGUAGCAUUAGUUUAAUGGUGCACAUGUAGGCCAAAAUUCUGUUGAGGUAACAUGGCCAAUUCAUGUUUGAUUUCUGUACAGAACAGUUCUGCUAACUUUGUGCAUCCAUGCAGACAACUGCAUGCUCAUAACAAGUGUUUGAUUAAGUGGCCCUUGACUGAGAUUAAUUAUGCCUCCACCCAGCCUUGGACUAACAUUUCCAGGGAAGUUUCUGCAGGUGCACUUGCACUAUCACAGCAGAAAUUGAGUUCAUCAGGAACUUCACAUCCAAAUGAGGAGACCCCUUUCCUCAAAUAUAAAAAAUUGGUGGUUUGAAGCAUUUUUGUAAAGGAGGCAUUAUGCACACAGAUUUGCUCACUAUAGAGGUGUUGACCUGUAAAGCCCACUGAACUGAAAGAUAACUGGCUUGUAUAAAAGUUUUGAUGGCCUCCAGUUGUGGGUGAAGAGGAACUACAGCUUUGCCGUAAACUCUAAAAUUCACAUUGGCCAGAGUUCUUGCUAAUCCUGGAAACUCUGUCGGACUUUGCAGCAGAGUUUCUCUGUGAAUGUGACGCAGUCAUAACAGGUAGGAUGACACAAAUGAAUGCAAUUGUUUGGGGUUUUUCAGUGAUGAUUUGUAAUAGUUACAUGAGCCCCAUGCUAAUAAAUUAGAUUUCAUCAACAAACCGAGAUGUAAGUAGAUGAACAGCAUAUGGCCAUAUGACGAAUACCCUCCUCCACAGAGCUCCUUACAAUGAUUUCUGCAAUCCUAUUUCAGUAGCAAAUAUGUAGGAUAACUUUGGUAUCAGUUUUCCUAUCAAUUGGAACGUUCCUAAAGAGAUUGUGGGAUCACAGAUAAGUAGGCUUCUUAUCUGAACAACCAAUGUCUUCCAUUCCAUUGACAGUUUGCCUUCAUGACCAUUAUUUAUUCUAUUCCCUUUGCUUUGGCUCUAAAUGAGAAUCACUCCCACUCUGAUUGGCAAGAACUGCUUUGAUAAUCAAAAUUUACUGAAAUUCUACCAACAAAAGUCUACCUUUUAUUGAAUGAUGCCAAAGAUAUGGGAAAAUGUUCACGUUUAUUCCACUCUGUUACAGCUUGUGAUCCUCUGGGCACAGAUCUCAUCCUCAAAAUGUUUCAUCCUUAAUUUCAGGAAACAUAUCUUUAUCAACUUCACCUACACUCAGCAAACCACUUUACUAGAAACACCUACUCAUUAACACAAAUACCUAAUCAACCAAUUAUGAGGCAGCAACUCAAUGCAUAAAUGCAUGAAAACAUGGUCAAGAGGUUCAGUAGUUGUUCAGACUAAACAUCAGAAUAGGAAAGGAAUGUGACCUAAGUGACUUAGACCGUGGAAUGACUGUUGGUGCCAGGCAAGAUGGUUUGAGUAUCUCAGAAACUGCUGAACUCUUGGGAUUUUCAUGAAUAACAGUCUCUGGUGUUCACAGAGAACAGUGCAAAAAAAAAACCAAAAGUAUAACGUCCAGUGUGUGGCAGUUCUGUGGCAAAAACACCUGGUUAAUGAGAGAGAUCAGAGGACAAUGGUCAAACUGGUUCGAGCUGACAGAAAGAUGAAGGUAACUCAAAUAAUCACACAUCACUACAGUGGUGUGGUGAAGAUUAUCUCUGAAAGCACAAUACCCUGAAGUGGACAGGCUACAGCAGCAGAAGACUACAAACAUACACUCAGUGGCCACUUUAUUAGGUAGAGGAGACAUCUAAUUAAAUGACCACUGAGUGUAUAAAUACAAGGUCAAAAAAGUAACUUUACCUUAAUGUCACUAGGUGUUCUACAAUAGGCUAAACAUUUGGGGAAGUAACCUCAAAAACAAAGCCUACACCUUGAAAACAAGCUUACUCACUCAUUCGUGUGUUCUAUUGACUUUCAAAUCUCACUGAUCUUCAAAAUGAAGAACAAAGCUGCAUAUUCUUUUCACUGUGACAUACAUAAAGGAUAGCCUUCAUGAGGCCAGACAGCUCAAAAAAUUUGUCUCAAUUCCCACUCAUCUGAUAUGAUGAUAUUCUCUUCACUUCCAUAAAUUCCUGAAUGAAGUAAACUGAAACAGUUCUCCCCAAAGUUUUCAGAUCUAUUAAUGGUUUAUACAUAUGAAUCAGUUACUCCACUUUAGGUAGCUUUUGACUGGUGAUUCGGCAGUGAGUCUCAGCAACAUGAUCUCCAGGAAUGUGUUGUAGUAUUACUUUAAUCAUGCCUCAGCACCACACAAGAGUUGGAAGACAGGAUGGGAAGAGGAUGGAGGCUCUGAGGACUCAAGAGAUGACAGGGGAGCCUGACAAACCCAGUGUUGGAGAGUGGUGGUGGAGAAAGGGGAGCCUGGGGGCCCACCAAUAGCGAAGAAGAUCUCAGCUUGGAGGUGAGAGCAGCCAGGGCCAUUAGAACCAGAGAUGCUGACAGUGAGGAACACCAUUGAAGAAGUGUGAUGGAUAUUUACUGUCCAAGGGGCCAGGGUGCUUUUCCUUUUUGCCAAACUCAGCUUUCUAAACACUAGCAGCAGACACUUCUAAAGAUUAAAGUGUUGUUUUUGAGUACAUUGAACUUCCAUCUCUGAUUUCUCCCCUUCCUUUCCAGCCAUGAUAAAGGCUUUCGGCCUGAAACGUCAACUGUUUACUCUUUUCAAUAGAUGCUGCCUGGCCUGCUGAUUUCCUACAGCAUUUUGUGUGUGUGUUGCUUCCAACUAAUAUUCUUUCUUUAGCUUCUAAUUGUAACCAGGAGUCUAUCUUCAGUUCUUAAUGUAACUGUCAAGCAGCUUUGCCUAAAGCACUAUCUAAAGAGCAGACUUGCUGACUCACAGCAUCUGGGCUUACUGCUCAUGAGGUGCUGUGUAAUACAAUGGGUUACCUUACUUUUGAAUGUUUCAAACAAAUAAUGCUGAUUGUUUAGUUGAAAGAAGCUUACAGUUUGAAGUUUUCACUUGGUAUAUGAAAUAAUUGGAAGGUUUGUAUACUUAAGAGAAUCAGCUUCACAGCAGUAUUUGUGGGCACCUGGGUUUUCUGACUCCAGAAGCUUUUAGGCCACUUGUGUUAAAGGGAAUCUGAAAAAAAUAUCAUCGGUGUAUAAAGUCACCUGCAGCAGAGAAGCAGUAUAAAUGUAGAGAGCAGAUCAGACUUAGCAGGAAUGGUCCAGAAACAUCACGAAGAAUGACAGAAUCAGAGGAUGAAUUAGAUUCCGUUCAUCUGCUUUUGAUGUCUUUGGUGGAUGACUGGUUUGUUAGUGGCUAAUGGUAUGGCAUUUUGAUUAUAGAAAUUGUACCUGUGUUUUGGAAUUCCUUUGUUUUUUAGAAACGGUUUGUAAUUUGGAAAUGUUUUAUGAGAUAGAAAUCCUCUAUGAGUUUUAAGUGUGCUUUAAGAAUGUUGUUUGAAUUUAAACAUGUAUCACUGAAAAUAAAUUACCUG